rnacentral:rRNA from 1 species
AACAGAGAGUUUGAUCCUGGCUCAGAUUGAACGCUGGCGGGAUGUUUACACAUGCAAAGUCGAACGGCAGCACGGACUUCGGUCUGGUGGCGAGUGGCGAACGGGUGAGUAAUGUAUCGGAACGUGCUCAGUGGGGAUAACUACGCGAAAGGUAGCUAAUACCGCAUACGCCCUUCGGGGGAAAGCGGGGGACCUCGGGCCUCGCACUAUUAGAGCGGCCGAUAUCGGAUUAGCUAGUUGGUGGGUAACGGCUCACCAAGGCGACGAUCCGUAGCUGGUUUGAGAGGACGACCAGCCACACUGGGACUGAGACACGCCCAGACUCCUACGGGAGGCAGCAGUGGGGAAUUUUGACAAUGGGGGAAACCCUGAUCCAGCCAUCCCGCGUGUGCGAUGAAGGCUCGGGUUGUAAAGCACUUUCAGCAGGAUAAAGAAACGGCACGGGAUAAUACCCCGUGCAACUGACGGUACCUGCAGAAUAAGCACCGGCUAACUACGUGCCAGCAGCCGCGGUAAUACGUAGGGUGCAAGCGUUAACGGAAUUACUGGGCGUAAAAGCGUGCGCAGGCGGUUCGGAAAGAAAGAUGUGAAAUCCCAGAGCUUAACUUUGAACUGCAUUUUUAACUACUGAGCUAGAGUGUCAGAGGGAGGUGGAAUUCGCGUGUAGCAGUGAAUGCGUAGAUAUGGAGGAACACCGAUGGCGAAGGCAGCCCUCCCGGGGAUAACACUGACGCUCAUGCACGAAAGCGGGGAGCAAACAGGAUUAGAUACCCUGGUAGUCCACGCCCCAAACGAUGUCAACUAGCUGUUGGGGCCUUCGGGCCUUGCAGCGCAGCUAACGCGGUGAAGUUGACCGCCUGGGGAGUACGGUCGCAAGAUUAAAACUCAAAGGAAUUGACGGGGACCCGCACAAGCGGUGGAUGAUGGGGAUUAAUCUGAUGCAACGCGAAAAACCUUACCUACCCUUGGACAUGUCUGGAAUCCCGAAGAGAUUUGGGGAGUACCGCAAGAGAACCGGAACACAGGUGUUGCAUGGCUGUCGUCAGCUCGUGUCGUGAGAUGUUGGGUUAAGUCCCGCAACGAGCGCAACCCUUGUCAUUAGUUGCUACGAAAGGGCACUCCCAUCGAGACUGCCGGUGACAAACCGGAGGAAGGUGGGGAUGACGUCAAGUCCUCAUGGCCCUAUGGGUAGGGCUUCACACGUCAUACAAUGGUCGGGACAGAGGGUCGCCAACCCGCGAGGGGGAGCCAAUCCCAGAAACCCGAUCGUGGUCCGGAUCGCAGUCUGCAACUCGACUGUGUGAAGUCGGAAUCGCUAGUAAUCGCGGAUCAGCAUGUCGCGGUGAAUACGUUCCCGGGUCUUGUACACACCGCCCGUCACACCAUGGGAGUGGGUUUUACCAGAAGUAGUUAGCCUAACCGUAAGGAGGGCGAUUACCACGGUAGGAUUCAUGACUGGAGUGAAGUCAACAAGGUAA